rnacentral:sRNA from 1 species
UGGUUUAAGUCAACUUAUUCAAAAAUGUCUUCAACCCUGCUGGUCGAGACAAGAAAUCUUUAUGGGGUAGUUGGAGCUGAAAGCAGGUUAGGCACCUAUUAAAACAUCACAGAACAGGUCUGCACCUGUUCAGCAUUUGGCAGGAUGGCAAGCGGAGGAGCAGCAGGGUGAAACUGACACAGUUCUGUCUGCAGCGGCUCUUUGUGUUGGAGUUGGGAGUUUCGCUGAUCCAGAUGACCUGCCGGGGCUGGCACACUUUUUGGAGCACAUGGUAUUCAUGGGUAGUUUGAAAUAUCCAGAUGAGAAUGGGUUUGAUGCCUUCCUGAAGAAGCAUGGGGGUAGUGAUAAUGCCUCAACUGAUUGUGAACGCACCGUCUUUCAGUUUGAUGUCCAGAGGAAGUACUUCAAGGAAGCCCUUGACAGAUGGGCCCAGUUCUUCAUCCACCCACUAAUGAUCAGAGAUGCAAUUGACCGUGAAGUUGAAGCUGUUGAUAGUGAAUAUCAACUUGCAAGGCCUUCUGAUGCAAACAGAAAGGAAAUGUUGUUUGGAAGCCUUGCUAGACCUGGACAUCCUAUGGGAAAA